rnacentral:rRNA from 1 species
UACGAAGGGGGCUAGCGUUGCUCGGAAUUACUGGGCGUAAAGGGCUCGUAGGCGGCCAACUAAGUCAGACGUGAAAUCUCCGGGCUUAACCCGGAAACUGCCAUCGAUACUAUUUGUCUUGAAUACUGUGGAGGUCAGCGGAAUAUGUCAUGUAGCGGUGAAAUGCUUAGAUAUGACAUAGAACACCAAUUGCGAAGGCAGCUGGCUACACAAAUAUUGACACUGAGGCACGAAAGCGUGGGGAUCAAACAGG